rnacentral:rRNA from 1 species
GUACACGCUGUGACUAGCAUAUCAAUAAGCGGAGGAAAAGAAACUAACAAGGAUUCCCCUAGUAACGGCGAGUGAAGCGGGAAGAGCUCAAAUUUGAAAUCUUCAAGGGUUUACCUUUACGAAUUGUAGUUUAAAGAAGUGUUUUCUGCUGAAGUUUUGGUAAAAGUUCUUUGGAAUAGGACAUCAUAGAGGGUGAGAAUCCCGUAUUUGACCAUUAUUUUCAGCUGUGUGAUACACUUUCAAAGAGUCGGAUUGUUUGGGAAUGCAGUCCAAAAUGGGUGGUAAAUUUCAUCUAAAGCUAAAUAUUGGCGAGAGACCGAUAGCGAACAAGUACCGUGAGGGAAAGAUGAAAAGAACUUUGAAAAGAGAGUUAAAUAGUACGUGAAAUUGUCAAAAGGGAAGCGUUUAACACCAGUGUUGUUUUCUGAAAAUCAACCUCUGUUAGCUUUAUGCAUGUUUGUUUAGACCUAAUCAGCUAUCUUGCAUGUUCUAUUAGUUUGCAGUGGUGCACUUUUCAGUUUACAGGUCAACAUCAGUUUUUUUUACCGUAAAAAAGUUAAAGAAAGGUAGCUCAUGGCUCCGGUCGUGAGUGUUAUAGUCUUUUUCCUAUACGGUAGGAGAGACUGAGGUCUGCAGUGUAGGCUAUUUGGCUAGAUACUCAGGUGCUAUGUGAUACCAUUUCAUAAACAACUUGUUGAUUAUGUUUUGUCUAUUGCAUACUCGCUUGUACUAUCAUACCUACGCUUAGGAUGUUGACGCAUGAGAUAUACGC